CCCUCACUAGGAUACUGGAGUUCUCAUUUGUUUCUUAGUCCUGUUGACAAGACAAUUUACACAUGGGCUCAGAAGGAAGCUCAAGGAUAGUUUUAUUGGAGUUUGAAAGAGAGACACGGAGCUUGAUACCCGUAGAAUCAUCUGGAAAGAGGAAUCCCAGCUGAGGUCCAUCAGGCUGGUCUUUCUUUGUGUAGUCCCCUGCCUGGAAUACCUGUCUGCUUUUCAGAUGGGAUGACUGCUCAUUCGUCAAGGACCUAAACAUCAUUUCACCAGAGACACAGUUGGAAUCCUCAGUCUAGGGAUGGCCAUCCCUAUCCCUGCCCACUCUUCUGCUGCUCUGUGUUUCUCCUUUGUAAUACUAAUCGUGGUUCAAACUAUACACCGAUUUGUGUAUUAUUUUUCUAACAUAUACACUUUAUGCUCGGUGUUGUAAACUUCCUGAGGGCAAGGACCAUGUCUGUCCUUCUCUCAAUUCCACAGGCAUGGAGCCAGAGGGCCCAGUAAAUACACGCUAUAUGUUUGAUCAAUGAAUAGAAUGAAUGAAAAUCAGAAUCAAAAUUCUACCGGAAUCCCUCCCGAACCUGAUUCCCUACUGACUGACUUCCUGCAAAGCGGCGUUGUGUUUUAUUUCAUUUUUCCCCUUUAUCAUAAAAGAAUAGACUGCAUUUUCCCUUUGCAAUCUACUGUGUACCUUCUCUAGUCCCUGAGUCCUGCGCAGCCUUUGACCGGCACUUUGUCUCUCUCCAAGACCUCUGUUCACCUAUCUGAUACCAGGGUUGGGGCAUCGGAGUGGGAGUUGGGGCACCAGGGUUGACUUCCUUUUGGACACUUAAAAAAAUAAAAGCCAAGGCACACUUCACAAAAGCCAGAAGGCAUUGCUGUGCUCAGGAUGCAGUUGUGGGGCUUUGGGUGGGCAUGGCAACGAUUUCUAGGCGUCACACUGUGCUCAGGAGAAGGUGGACAGACUGUCUUAUCACUGUGUGCACAGGGUUCGGGCAGCUAGCUCUCAGGCUAACUGGUGUGCCACCUGCUGCUUCUCGGAACAGCCACCAUGAGGACCGCUCCAGGGGCUCCACUCCACAGAACAGCGUGAGCUCCUUCCUACAUUUGUACGGCAGAGGGGCUGUGUGUACGUUUUUUAUUGGUAUACGACUGCAACUUGCUUGUGGCUAAAACAAUAAAUCGUCAAGUUCCAA